rnacentral:misc_RNA from 1 species
GAAAUGCGAUAAGUAAUGUGAAUUGCAGAAUUCAGUGAAUCAUCGAAUCUUUGAACGCACCUUGCGCACCUUGGCAUUCCGAGGAGCAUGCCUGUUUGAGUGUCGUUGAAUUCUCAAACCCCUUCCUGUGGGGGCCUCUUUUGGUUCCACUGCGGUCAGGUUGUGGGUUUGGAUCGGUGGAGGAUGCAUGAGCGCUGCCCCCAGAAACGGGGGAUGGGCAUGUUAUGCUUCUCUGAAAUGGAUUGGCAAUUACGGCUGCGAUCCACGAACCUGUCGUCGGUAUGAUACGUCUUACCUGCUUCUGAACCGUGCCAGCCCGGCCAGACGAGACGGAGACGGACUGUCUCCAUCUACGAUUUGACCUCAAAUCAGGCAGGACUACCCGCUGAACUUAA